AUGAUGAUACUUCCGUAAUUCGCGGCCCGGUCUCNAGAGCAGACAGGGUGGCUUAAAUGCCGAUGA
rnacentral:ncRNA from 1 species